CGUGAAGCCCCCCUCAAGAUGAGAUUUCCCAGUAUGUAAGACCCCUUGAAGACGACGAGGUUGAUAGGUUCGGGGUGGAAGCACAGCAAUGUGUGUAGCUGACGAAUACUAAUCGGUCGAGGGCUUAUCCUA
rnacentral:rRNA from 1 species